rnacentral:rRNA from 1 species
AGUCAUAUGCUUGUCUCAAAGAUUAAGCCAUGCAUGUCUAAGUAUAAACAAUUCUAUACUGUGAAACUGCGAAUGGCUCAUUAAAUCAGUCAUAAUUUACUUGAUAUUAUUUUACUACUUGGAUAACUGUGGUAAUUCUAGAGCUAAUAAACAAUCCCAACUUUUUGGAAGGGAUGUAUUUAUUAGAUACAAAACCAAUCUGUGGGGCAACCCGCAGUCUCUGGUGAUUCAUAAUAAAUUGACGAAUCGCAUGGCUUUAUGCCGGCGAUGAAUCAUUCAAAUUUCUGCCCUAUCAAAUUUUGAUGGUAGGAUAGAGGCCUACCAUGUUUUUAACGGGUAACGGGGAAUUAGGGUUUGAUUCCGGAGAGGGAGCCUGAGAAACGGCUACCACAUCCAAGGAAGGCAGCAGGCGCGCAAAUUACCCAAUCGCGACACGCGGAGGUAGUGACAAUAAAUAACAAUACAGGGCUUUUACAAGUCUUGUAAUUGGAAUGAGUACAAUUUAAAUCCCUUAACGAGGAACAAUUGGAGGGCAAGUCUGGUGCCAGCAGCCGCGGUAAUUCCAGCUCCAAUAGCGUAUAUUAAUGUUGUUGCAGUUAAAAAGCUCGUAGUCGAAUUUUGGACCUGGCUGGGCGGUCUUGCUGAAAGGUAAGCACUGCUCUGGUUGGGUCUUUCCUUCUGGGGAACCAGUGUGCUCUUAAUUGGGUGCGCUGGGGAUCCAGGACUUUUACUUUGAAAAAAUUAGAGUGUUUAAAGCAGGCUUACGCUUGAAUACAUUAGCAUGGAAUAAUGGAAUAGGACUUUGGUUCUAUUUUGUUGGUUUCUAGGACCAAAGUAAUGAUGAAUAGGGAUAGUUGGGGGCAUUAGUAUUGAGCUGUCAGAGGUGAAAUUCUUGGAUUUGCUCAAGACUAACAACUGCGAAAGCAUUUGCCAAGGAUGUUUUCAUUGAUCAAGAACGAAAGUUAGGGGAUCGAAGACGAUCAGAUACCGCCGUAGUCUUAACCAUAAACUAUGCCGACUAGGGAUUGGUGGAUGUUUUUCAUGUGGCCGCAUCAGCGUCUUCCGAGAAAUCAAAGAUUUUGGGUUCUGGGGGGAGUAUGGUCGCAAGGCUGAAACUUAAAGGAAUUGACGGAAGGGCACCACCAGGAUUGGAGCCUGCGGCUUAAUUUGACCCAACACGGGAAAACUUACCAGGUCCAGACAUAGUAAGGAUUGACAGAUUGAGAGCUCUUUCUUGAUUCUAUGCGUGGUGGUGCAUGGCCGUUCUUAGUUGGUGGAUUGAUUUGUCUGCUUAAUUGCGAUAACGAACGAGACCUUAACCUACUAAAUAGCUACGCGAACCCUAGGUUCGUGGCCAGCUUCUUAGAGGGACUAUAUAAGACAAUUAUAUGGAAGUUUGAGGCAAUAACAGGUCUGUGAUGCCCUUAGAUGUUCUGGGCCGCACGCGCGCUACACUGACGAAUUCAACAAGUUUUAACCUUGACCGAUAGGUCUGGGUAAUCUUUUAAAAGUUCGUCGUGCUGGGGAUUGACAAUUGCAAUUUUUUGUCAUGAACGAGGAAUUCCUAGUAAGCGCGAGUCAUCAGCUCGCGUUGAUUACGUCCCUGCCCUUUGUACACACCGCCCGUCGCUACUACCGAUUGAAUGGCUUAGUGAGUCCUCCGGAUUGGGCAUUCGAUACCGGCAACGGUGACGAUUGCCCGAGAAGCUGGGCAAACUUGGUCAUUUAGAGGAAGUAAAAGUCGUAACAAGGUAACCGUAGGUGAACCUGCGGUUGGAUCAUUA